rnacentral:rRNA from 1 species
UACAGAGGGUGCGAGCGUUAAUCGGAAUUACUGGGCGUAAAGCGCGCGUAGGCGGCUUUGCAAGUCGGGUGUGAAAUCCCCAGGCUUAACCUGGGAACUGCAUUCGAGACUGCAUUGCUAGAGUAUGGGAGAGGGAAGUGGAAUUUACGGUGUAGCGGUGAAAUGCGUAGAUACUGGGAGGAACACCGGUGGCGAAGGCGGCUACCUGGACCGGUUCUGACGCUGAUGCGCGAAAGCGUGGGGAGCAAACAGG